CUUUCUUGCUGACGAGUGGCGGACGGGUGAGUAAUGCUUGGGAAUCUGGCUUAUGGAGGGGGAUAACGACGGGAAACUGUCGCUAAUACCGCGUAUUAUCGGAAGAUGAAAGUGCGGGACUGAGAGGCCGCAUGCCAUAGGAUGAGCCCAAGUGGGAUUAGGUAGUUGGUGGGGUAAAGGCCUACCAAGCCUGCGAUCUCUAGCUGGUCUGAGAGGAUGACCAGCCACACUGGAACUGAGACACGGUCCAGACUCCUACGGGAGGCAGCAGUGGGGAAUAUUGCGCAAUGGGGGGAACCCUGACGCAGCCAUGCCGCGUGAAUGAAGAAGGCCUUAGGGUUGUAAAGUUCUUUCGGUAUUGAGGAAGGUUGAUGUGUUAAUAGCACAUCAAAUUGACGUUAAAUACAGAAGAAGCACCGGCUAACUCCGUGCCAGCAGCCGCGGUAAUACGGAGGGUGCGAGCGUUAAUCGGAAUAACUGGGCGUAAAGGGCACGCAGGCGGUUAUUUAAGUGAGGUGUGAAAGCCCCGGGCUUAACCUGGGAAUUGCAUUUCAGACUGGGUAACUAGAGUACUUUAGGGAGGGGUAGAAUUCCACGUGUAGCGGUGAAAUGCGUAGAGAUGUGGAGGAAUACCGAAGGCGAAGGCAGCCCCUUGGGAAUGUACUGACGCUCAUGUGCGAAAGCGUGGGGAGCAAACAGGAUUAGAUACCCUGGUAGUCCACGCUGUAAACGCUGUCGAUUUGGGGGUUGGGGUUUAACUCUGGCGCCCGUAGCUAACGUGAUAAA
rnacentral:rRNA from 1 species